UUAACAAAUGUGCUUAAACAUGAAUUCUUUAACUUUUUGAUAAUUCGAAACGACACAUAAAUCGAGAUAAAUAGUGUUUCAACCUCUUCAUUUUAUUUCGAAAUAGGUGUGCAUUGGCGAUAAAGGAAAGAAUUUGUGUAGUCUUUCAAAAUUAAUCUUGUUUUAGUAUUUCCUUCAUUUCAUUUUACUUGGCCCCUUUUGACUUGGUAGACCCAUUAAAGAAAAUUAAUUUGGAGUUUAUUUUACAAGAUUAAUCCUAAUAAUGAUGUCUUGAAACUCGAAAUCUAACAAUUACUAUUUUCUUUAAUUAUUUAAUACCGAGGCUAAUAUGGAAAAAGAAGUAAUAAAAUACUUGAUUUGUGAAAAUGAAGAACUAAAAGAAUAAUUUAUUUUUAAAGAAUUUUCUCAAAUUAAAAAUACUAUUUAUUUGUAAACAAAGCUAUAUGCACAUAUUAGAAAAUUUAGCGGUCCGAAAGUUUGAGGCCUAAAGCAACGGCUUUCGUUGGUUUGGACAAACAAAAGUUAGUGGUGGGCAUUAAAUUGGGACAAACAAAAGUUAGUGGUGGGCAUUAAAUUGGGACAAACAAAAGUUAGUGGGCUUGUUUUGUCAUACAGAGAGAUUGAAACUGGGGACCAUCUCUUUUUUUAAAUGCCCUUUCACUAGGGAUAUCUGGCACACUUCACCCAGAAUAAGGGGACCUAUUCUUAAAGCUGGCUGGCUGGCUUGGCAGAGGUGAUCUAUAAAGUGUCGAUUGAAAGAAAUGCUCGGGCGUUUCAACAAAACUAACAGGUGACAGUUUAUAUGUUGUUCUGUUUGACAGAGCAGGCAGUCUGAGUGCCCCUGGUUUGUAAUGUCUUACUUUUCUUUUACAAUAAGUCAGCAAAACAAUUAUUGUUCCGAUGUAUUUAUAUGUAAUCUAACAAAAUAUUAUAGAGGUGGGAUGGUCAAGGAGUGAAGGUCGGAGGUGUUGUACCGGUGAAAAGUAAACAAUGAACUUGAACUGUGUCACUUACGGAACUUGUGUUUCCUAUUUUCAUUAGGAAAGUCAUUAUACUCGUUUUUAAGGAA